GAUGAACGCUAGCGAUAGGCUUAACACAUGCAAGUCGAGGGGCAGCAUGGUCUUAGCUUGCUAAGACUGAUGGCGACCGGCGCACGGGUGCGUAACGCGUAUGCAACUUGCCUCACAGAGGGGGAUAACCCGUCGAAAGACGGACUAAUACCGCGUACACUCUAUUUUGGGCAUCCAAGGUAGAGGAAAUGAAAUUCGCUGUGAGAUAGGCAUGCGUCCCAUUAGCUAGUUGGUGAGGUAACGGCUCACCAAGGCGACGAUGGGUAGGGGAACUGAGAGGUUGAACCCCCACACUGGUACUGAGACACGGACCAGACUCCUACGGGAGGCAGCAGUGAGGAAUAUUGGUCAAUGGGCGAGGGCCUGAACCAGCCAAGUCGCGUGAAGGAUGACUGUCUUAUGGAUUGUAAACUUCUUUUGUAGGGGAAUAAAGAGGGGCACGUGUGCCCCAGUGAAUGUACCCUACGAAUAAGCAUCGGCUAACUCCGUG
rnacentral:rRNA from 1 species